CCACUUGGGAACAGGUGCUAAUACCCGGAUAAGAAAGCAGAUCGCAUGAUCAGCUUUUAAAAAGGGCGGCGUAAAGCUGUCGCUAUGGGGAUGGCCCCGCGGUGCAUUUAGCUAGUUGGUAAGGGUAAAGGGCUUUACCAAGGCGAUGAUGCAUAGCCCGAGUUGAGAGACUGAUCGGGCCACAUUGGGGACUGAGACACGGGCCCAAAACUCCUACGGGGAGGCAGCAGUAGGGAAUCUUCCACAAUGGACGCAAGUCUGAUGGAGCAACGCCGCGUGAGUGAAGUAAGGUUUUCGGAUCGUAAAGCUCUGUUGUUGGUGAAGAAGGAUAGAGGUAGUAACUGGUCCUUUAUUUGACGGUAAUCAACCAGAAGUCACGGCUAACUACGUGCCAGCAGCCGCGGUAAU
rnacentral:rRNA from 1 species